CCCUUAGAUGUUCUGGGCCGCACGCGCGCUACACUGAUGCAUGCAACGAGUUCUAUCCUUGGCCGGAAGGCCUGGGUAAUCUGUGAACGUGCAUCGUGAUAGGGAUAGGUUAUUGCAAUUAUUAAUCUUGAACGAGGAAUUCCUAGUAAACGCAAGUCAUCAGCUUGCAUUGAUUACGUCCCUGCCCUUUGUACACACCGCCCGUCGCACCUACCGAUCGAAGGUAAUGAUGAGCCCUCAGGAUUGUGGCCUCGUCGCGUCAGCGUCUUGGCUGCGAGAAUCUGUGCAAAUCCCUACCUUUAGAGGAAGGUGAANUCGUANCA
rnacentral:rRNA from 1 species